rnacentral:rRNA from 1 species
UUCCGUAGGUGAACCUGCGGAAGGAUCAUUACCUAGAGUUGUAGGCUUUGCCUGCUAUCUCUUACCCAUGUCUUUUGAGUACCUUACGUUUCCUCGGUGGGUUCGCCCACCGAUUGGACAAAUUUAAACCCUUUGCAGUUGAAAUCAGCGUCUGAAAAAACUUAAUAGUUACAACUUUCAACAACGGAUCUCUUGGUUCUGGCAUCGAUGAAGAACGCAGCGAAAUGCGAUAAGUAGUGUGAAUUGCAGAAUUCAGUGAAUCAUCAAAUCUUUGAACGCACAUUGCGCCCCUUGGUAUUCCAUGGGGCAUGCCUGUUCGAGCGUCAUUUGUACCUUCAAGCUCUGCUUGGUGUUGGGUGUUUGUCUCCUGUAGACUCGCCUCAAAACAAUUGGCAGCCGGCGUAUUGAUUUCGGAGCGCAGUACAUCUCGCGCUUUGCACUCAUAACGACGACAUCCAAAAGUACAUUUUUACACUCUUGACCUCGGAUCAGGUAGGGAUACCCGCUGAACUUAAGCAUAUCAAUAAGCGGAGGA